UACAGAGGGGGCAAGCGUUGUUCGGAAUUACUGGGCGUAAAGGCGCGUAGGCGGCCUGUUAAGUCGAACGUGAAAUCCCUGGGCUCAACCCAGGAACUGCGUCCGAUACUGGCAGGCUUGAAUCCGGGAGAGGGAUGUGGAAUUCCAGGUGUAGCGGUGAAAUGCGUAGAUAUCUGGAGGAACACCGGUGGCGAAGGCGGCAUCCUGGACCGACACUGACGCUGAGGAGCGAAAGCCAGGGGAGCAAACGGG
rnacentral:rRNA from 1 species